AGCUAAGUUUGUUAUUGGUAUGAGUUUUCGUGUGCAUGCACACUUCUUCAGAUACCUGAAGUACCAAGUAUCUGAAGAAGUGUGCAAGCACGUGAAAGCUCAUACCAAUAACAAACUUUGCUGG